UGCCCAGAAGGGGUUGUGCCAGGAUCUGCCCCUUCCCAGGCCUCAUAUAAGGGUUGGCAGUGGAGGUGAGAGGCUUUUACUGGAGAUCCCUACAUGCCUGAGGCCUUCUAAAAAAAUAUCUACUUGAAGAUACAGUUAUGGAGGAUGACUUCAGCUAGGGUGCUCUUAGAAAGGAAUUUCUUCCUGCUAAUUUAAAGAUCUGGCAAUGUUACAAAGGUCAUGGAAACAACAGCUCUGCAAGGAUGAAGGAGCCAGGGGACAUUCAGCAAAGUGGCAAGCAUCCUCUCAGUUUUUUUUCUGUAAAGGAGCCUGCCUGAAGCAUGAUAUUCUCAAGGAUUCCUAGCAUAAGACGUUUCCUAAUGAAGUAUGUUGACUACAUCACUCAUUCAGCAAACCUGCUGAGGUUGCACUCAAUCCCACUGUCGAUGCCAUUGAUGAAGAUAUUAAAGUGUAUCAAUCCCAGUACAGACUCUGGAGGGACACCAUUUGUCACUAAUCUACAUCUGGACACUGAGCCACUGACCGCCACAUUCUGGGUACAAUCUUGCAGUCAGAUCCUCAUCCAUCAGUCUACCCAUCAAAUCGAUAUCUUUCUAAUUUGGAGAGAUGUUGUGGUAAGGGCCUUUCUGAGGUCAGUUAGAUGGCAUCAAUAGCUCUUUCUUGUCCAUUGAUGUAGUUAUGCCAUCACAGAAGGCCAGCAUGUUGGCCAGAGAAGACUUGCUCUUGGUGAAGCUGUGCUGGUUAUGCCAUGUCACAUUCCUCUUUUCCACAUGCCUUAGCAUAGCUUCCAGGAGCAUCUGUUUUGUGAUUCUCCCUGCCACACAUUCAUAGUUCUCCAUGGCAGCAGGAUGAUUUUCUUUCUGUUCAUAAAAGACAGUUGGGAAAAUUAGUUGGUUUCAGUUUAACAAGGUAAUGAUUCAAUUUAGCAGAGAUCAAAGCAAGCUGCGUGGCAAAAGCAGAAGGGUGAAGUUAUGUUACUUUAUUAAUGUACAAUGUACUUUUCCAUCUUGCAGCAGAAUGAUUGAUUAUCCAUUAGGUUUACUGAGCUGUAAUUAGCAAUUAUUACUAAUAGCCUUCUAUCUCUAGGCAAAUAAAGGCCUGUAUCUUGUUCUUACUUUCAGACUGCAACUGUUUCCACCUUGUCAUAUUCAGUGUAGGAGCACAGUAUAGUGACCAAUUAUAGAAAAGUCCCCUUCAUUAUAUGUCAUCUUUGUUUGAUGCGUCUUAAUGCAAUGAAAGAAAUAUGUGCAUGCUAAUGAUCUUGAGCAUUAUGUUGAUGGAUAGUUUGAUGUCUGGCUGUACUCUUAAAUUUAGAGAAAAUCAGAAAAAAAUAGGUUUCUCUUGUCCGUUUUAGUGGCUUGUCUCUCAGCCAAUAACUUGUCCUCAUAAGAUGUUACUGGCAAAAUCAACAGCAGCCAUUCUGUAAACAAAAUGAUUAGUAGAGGAGGUGGAGUCUUUUGCAAGCUUUAAAUGAUAUCUGACAGUGUGAGAAUGAUUUAGAUUUAGACAAGUGCCUUAUCUGUGUACAUUCUCUUGUUUGUGAGACAGCUCUAUGAUCAUUAAAUUCUUUGACAAUUA